rnacentral:rRNA from 1 species
AUUGAACGCUGGCGGCAUGCCUUACACAUGCAAGUCGGACGGUAACAGGUCUUCGGAUGCUGACGAGUGGCGAACGGGUGAGUAAUACAUCGGAACGUGCCCGAUCGUGGGGGAUAACGAAGCGAAAGCUUUGCUAAUACCGCAUAGGAUCUACGGAUGAAAGCAGGGGACCGCAAGGCCUUGCGCGAACGGAGCGGCCGAUGGCAGAUUAGGUAGUUGGUGGGAUAAAAGCUUACCAAGCCGACGAUCUGUAGCUGGUCUGAGAGGACGACCAGCCACACGGGGACUGAGCCACGGCCCAGACUCCUACGGGAGGCAGCAGUGGGGAAUUUUGGACAAUGGGCGAAAGCCUGAUCCAGCCAUGCCGCGUGCAGGAUGAAGGCCUUCGGGUUGUAAACUGCUUUUGUACGGAACGAAAAGACUCUUUCUAAUAAAGAGGGUCCAUGACGGUACCGUAAGAAUAAGCACCGGCUAACUACGUGCCAGCAGCCGCGGUAA